GAGCGGUAGAGAGAAGCUUGCUUCUCUUGAGAGCGGCGGACGGGUGAGUAAUGCCUAGGAAUCUGCCUGGUAGUGGGGGAUAACGUUCGGAAACGGACGCUAAUACCGCAUACGUCCUACGGGAGAAAGCAGGGGACCUUCGGGCCUUGCGCUAUCAGAUGAGCCUAGGUCGGAUUAGCUAGUUGGUGGGGUAAUGGCUCACCAAGGCGACGAUCCGUAACUGGUCUGAGAGGAUGAUCAGUCACACUGGAACUGAGACACGGCCCAGACUCCUACGGGAGGCAGCAGUGGGGAAUAUUGGACAAUGGGCGAAAGCCUGAUCCAGCCAUGCCGCGUGUGUGAAGAAGGUCUUCGGAUUGUAAAGCACUUUAAGUUGGGAGGAAGGGUUGUAGAUUAAUACUCUGCAAUUUUGACGUUACCGACAGAAUAAGCACCGGCUAACUCUGUG
rnacentral:rRNA from 1 species